CGCUUCCUGCCUUCCGGCCCGACACCGGGCGGAAAACCUGCAACGCACUCCUCGUUAGUAUAGUGGUAGGAUUGUAGUGUUGACCUAUAAAAACAAGACAAAGACUGGGAUUCAUAGCAAGAAAAAAGGCAAGAGGGACUUGAGCUUAGCAAGCUGAUGAUGCAUUAAGCUGCUUCUGGGCCAGAAUGAGAGCAAU